rnacentral:rRNA from 1 species
CCUACGGGGGGCAGCAGUGGGGAAUAUUGGACAAUGGGGGCAACCCUGAUCCAGCCAUGCCGCGUGUGUGAAGAAGGCCUUUUGGUUGUAAAGCACUUUAAGCAGUGAAGAAGACUCUAUGGUUAAUACCCAUAGACGAUGACAUUAGCUGCAGAAUAAGCACCGGCUAACUCUGUGCCAGCAGCCGCGGUAAUACAGAGGGUGCAAGCGUUAAUCGGAAUUACUGGGCGUAAAGCGAGCGUAGGUGGCUUGAUAAGUCAGAUGUGAAAGCCCCGGGCUUAACCUGGGAACGGCAUCUGAUACUGUUAGGCUAGAGUAGGUGAGAGGAAGGUAGAAUUCCAGGUGUAGCGGUGAAAUGCGUAGAGAUCUGGAGGAAUACCGAUGGCGAAGGCAGCCUUCUGGCAUCAUACUGACACUGAGGUUCGAAAGCGUGGGUAGCAAACAGGAUUAGAUACCCUGGUAGUCCACGCCGUAAACGAUGUCUACUAGUCGUUGGGUCCCUUGAGGACUUAGUGACGCAGCUAACGCAAUAAGUAGACCGCCUGGGGAGUACGGCCGCAAGGUUAAAACUCAAAUGAAUUGACGGGGGCCCGCACAAGCGGUGGAGCAUGUGGUUUAAUUCGAUGCAACGCGAAGAACCUUACCUGGUCUUGACAUAUCUAGAAUCCUGCAGAGAUGCGGGAGUGCCUUCGGGAAUUAGAAUACAGGUGCUGCAUGGCUGUCGUCAGCUCGUGUCGUGAGAUGUUGGGUUAAGUCCCGCAACGAGCGCAACCCUUGUCCUUAGUUACCAGCGGUUUGGCCGGGAACUCUAAGGAUACUGCCAGUGACAAACUGGAGGAAGGCGGGGACGACGUCAAGUCAUCAUGGCCCUUACGACCAGGGCUACACACGUGCUACAAUGGUAGGUACAGAGGGCAGCUACACAGCGAUGUGAUGCGAAUCUCAAAAAGCCUAUCGUAGUCCAGAUUGGAGUCUGCAACUCGACUCCAUGAAGUAGGAAUCGCUAGUAAUCGCGGAUCAGAAUGCCGCGGUGAAUACGUUCCCGGGCCUUGUACACACCGCCCGUC